rnacentral:rRNA from 1 species
GAUGAACGCUGGCGGCGUGCCUAAUACAUGCAAGUCGAGCGAACAGACGAGGAGCUUGCUCCUCUGACGUUAGCGGCGGACGGGUGAGUAACACGUGGAUAACCUACCUAUAAGACUGGGAUAACUUCGGGAAACCGGAGCUAAUACCGGAUAAUAUAUUGAACCGCAUGGUUCAAUAGUGAAAGACGGUUUUGCUGUCACUUAUAGAUGGAUCCGCGCCGCAUUAGCUAGUUGGUAAGGUAACGGCUUACCAAGGCGACGAUGCGUAGCCGACCUGAGAGGGGGGAUGGCCAAAAUGGGAAAGGGAAACGGGCCAGACCCCCUCGGGGGGGAAGAGGUGGGAAACUUUCCGCAUGGGGGAAAAGCCGACGGGGGAAAGGCCGGGGGGGUAAGAAGGGUUUUGGGAUUGAAAACCCUUGUUAUUGGGAAAAAAAAAAUGUGAAAGAAAUUAUGAAGGUUUGGACGGACCUAAACAAGAAAGCAACGGCUAACUACGG